rnacentral:rRNA from 1 species
UACGUAGGGGCCUAGCGUUGUCCGGAUUUAUUGGGCGUAAAGAGCGUGUAGGCGGCUAGGUAGGUCCGUUGUGAAAACUCGAGGCUCAACCUCGAGACGUCGAUGGAAACCAUCUAGCUAGAGUCCGGAAGAGGAGAGUGGAAUUCCUGGUGUAGCGGUGAAAUGCGCAGAUAUCAGGAAGAACACCCGUGGCGAAGGCGGCUCUCUGGUACGUGACUGACGCUGAGACGCGAAAGCGUGGGGAGCGAACAGG